AGAAACGCAGUUUAAAAGGCGCUGGGGCGGGAGCCGAGGCUCCCGGCCCGCUUCUGUUUUCGUUUUCUCCACCCUUCCCCUUAGACGCCGAUAAGGGACAGGUCGUACUGCUUUUGUGCGCCGUUUCCUCUCCCUCCCCCAGCUUGAGAAGCAGCUUUCGUCUCUGGGGUCGAUCGCCUACGAACGCGCCGAAUUCCACGCCAGUGUGAGGACCCUUGGCUGGGCCUUUCUUCCUCCCGGGACACUGAAGCUCCAAGAGUAGCCGCAGCCUUGCCUUCCCCAAACGCUAGCCCUGAAGGGGAAGAAAAGAAGCGAGGCUUGUCUGCAGGCACUCAUAUUCCUUGAUUUGAUUUACUUUGGGAGGGGGAGGGCGGGGAGUUACCCCUCUCCUCGCGAACGCUUCUUUUGUUCCAGAAACCCAGGGGAAGCCAGACCUCUACAAUCGGGCACUUAAAUUACCCUUGAAUUUGUGACAAAAGUGUACUAUACCAUUCACUUCUUAGUGUCAUAGUUGGGGCAUGUCUAAAUUGUUUAAUUUGAACAGUGCGUUCAGACGCAAGACAAAUUCGCGCUUGCAUUUUUGUUGAAACCGUCUCUGGCUUUGGAUCCCACCACCCGCAAGAAUCCUAAACCUAACGUUUGAUAACAAAACGAAGGAGAACCCUUGGGAACCCCCUCAAUGGUCAAUUUAAAAUAACAGAUGGUGCAUAAUCCUAAAGGAAGACUAGUGACCUAUAAUUAGGCCUAGAACCCUAAUCAAACCCGUAUUACCGAUCCAAAUUAAAACCUGGUAGAAUCUAAUACAUUGACUGCAAUUAAAAUGUUUGCCUGGAAAUUAGUAUCACUGAUGACAAAUAUUUGUAUUUCUGAUGAAUAUGUAUGUUUAAAGAUGCUUUCUUUCUAGAAAGGAAAGGAGACCUUGGAUGUAGGGUGUGUUAAUCAUUUCCCCAGAAUCUGAGCUCCAAACUAUGUUUUAGAAACUGGUUAAAUUUUUUUUAAAUGUUUGCCUGCUUUCUACAUUGCUAGGUUAGAAUACAUUUAAAACAAACGCCUUCACUAAAAAUGUUUCCUAUGAUUUAAGCGACUUACUUUUAUUCAAAUUGCGAUAUUAUUUCUUUUAGUGAUAAUUAUUUUCCUAGAGGUAACUAAUUCCUUUAUAAAAAUCUCAGUAUUCACAUACAUUUAAGCAAUGGUAUUAAGCUCAAUAAUGCAAAUUAAAAAUCAGGUUUUAAUUAGCAAGUUGUUAGGUAGGUUUUUAUGAUCCCUUGUAAAAGUUGCUUGGUUUUUUGUCCUCACAGCUUCCCUGGACACAUAGGCAAAUGUUUUUAUCUUCAGAAGGGGAACUGAGCUGAGAGGCAAAGGACCAUGACUUUGCAAUGACUGGUAACCCAGUACGUAUAAUGCAAGAACUGCAUUCUAGAUACGCCUGAAAUUAAUGUUUCCUGGGCAAAAACAUUUUCAUUAUCUUUUUUUUAAUCCCUGGACAUUAGCUACAGGUGGUUACUUGCAGAUUUACUGCUGUAGAGCUCCAAAAUUGAGAUUACACUUUUCAGAUUCUGCGUACCCUAAGGCUAAGAGGUUGGGCUAUUGAGUUUGGGUGGUCUCUUUGGUCCUGAUUGCUACUUCCAAACCAUUUCUGCUCUUUUCUGCUUCAAAAAUAUUUGAAGUUCAUAUCUUCUGGCUAAAUCACUUUCUACUCUCCUUCCUGCCAUCAUCCACGAGCCUCCUGGUCACUUUCCAGAAAUUAUAGAGCUGCUUGCCGUAGGUUUUCCUCACCAUCCCUCUUGUCUACAUUCUAUCUGAAUUCAGCAUGCUUGUAGGUGACCCAUGCAACACCAACACUUGGCCUCUUAGACCUCUGACCUCUUCAUCUCCAACAAUUUGUUCCUCUCUUGCGUCUUAACCACUUCGGUAUCAGUCAGAUUCUGAACCUUGUCAUCAGUUGAAAUCUCAGUUUCAAGCUUCCCAAUUGUCAAUCACUAGCCUUUUUUUCCCAGCUAAUUUAUGGUACUCUCACUUACCUAAUUAAGACCUCCACGCUAUUAACCCCAACACUUAAAAAAACUCAACUCUUCUGCUUCUGCCAUCAUGUAAUAAUUUUGCAACUCACCUGACUUAAAUUCCCUGAUCAGUCCUUUUCAUCACUCUUUUACAAACAUUUUCAACUCUCUGAUCUCAAUGUCUCCUUUUUUGCUUGAAAGAAUCUCAGCCUUGCUUGGACUAAACCAUGCUCCAGCUGAACUUUCUCAUUGCUUACAUCCAAACAGCAAAAGCUGCUGGAGAAAAGUCAGUCAUAUAACAAGCUAACUGGUUUUAAUUCAUGACCUCAGUCCUCUCAGGAGCACUCAACACUGGCUGGCAAUGCUAUUCCAGUCUCUGGGUUAACCAUUCAUACGUUCACAUCUCCUCAAAUUUCACAUCCUUUUUCCCUACCUCUCAUUUUUAGCUGGUGACCUUGCCUCAACUUCAAAAAAUAAAAACCACCUAUGAGGAAUGCUUCAA
rnacentral:lncRNA from 1 species